CAUGGAAUAUCGCUGUGAAUGCGUUAACAUCCACGUACGGGACACCCUAUACCUACGGAAAUACCGCUGUUACCAUUUACAUAGCAUCUGGUGACACCACGGAUCAUUACUACGAGAGCGAAGGGGUUGAUCAUUCAUACACUAUAGAACUUCGAGACUCGGGUACUUAUGGUUUCCAAUUACCGCCCGAUCAAAUUGUUCCAACGGCCACCGAAACCUGGAAUGGAUUGAAAGCAAUGAUCAAUGCUAUUUGAGUGUCGUUUGUAACGUCUUCCCCAUUAGUUAACGAAAAAUAAAACGAAAUGCCGCUUUGCGAAAAACGUC